GACGAACGCUGGCGGCGUGCUUAACACAUGCAAGUCGAACGAUGAUGCCCAGCUUGCUGGGCGGAUUAGUGGCGAACGGGUGAGUAACACGUGAGUAACCUGCCCUUGACUUCGGGAUAACUCCGGGAAACCGGGGCUAAUACCGGAUAUGAGCCGUCCUCGCAUGGGGGUGGUUGGAAAGUUUUUCGGUCAGGGAUGGGCUCGCGGCCUAUCAGCUUGUUGGUGGGGUGAUGGCCUACCAAGGCGACGACGGGUAGCCGGCCUGAGAGGGCGACCGGCCACACUGGGACUGAGACACGGCCCAGACUCCUACGGGAGGCAGCAGUGGGGAAUAUUGCACAAUGGGCGAAAGCCUGAUGCAGCGACGCCGCGUGAGGGAUGAAGGCCUUCGGGUUGUAAACCUCUUUCAGCAGGGAAGAAGCGCAAGUGACGGUACCUGCAGAAGAAGCGCCGGCUAACUACGUGCCAGCAGCCGCGGUAAUACGUAGGGCGCAAGCGUUGUCCGGAAUUAUUGGGCGUAAAGAGCUCGUAGGCGGUUUGUCGCGUCUGGUGUGAAAACUCGAGGCUCAACCUCGAGCUUGCAUCGGGUACGGGCAGACUAGAGUGCGGUAGGGGAGACUGGAAUUCCUGGUGUAGCGGUGGAAUGCGCAGAUAUCAGGAGGAACACCGAUGGCGAAGGCAGGUCNCUGGGCCGCAACUGACGCUGAGGAGCGAAAGCAUGGGGAGCGAACAGG
rnacentral:rRNA from 1 species